CAGCAGUCAAAAUUCAAUGUUUUUGCAAUCAGCUUGAUAGUCCUAAAGCAGGAGAGGCUGGGAGAAGUGUCCUAAAACCUCCUGCUUGCUAGAAAGAGGUGGACAGACACAGGGGCCUCGUGGCACUGGGAGCUGGCUACAAGUUCUGGGUCUUGACUGAUCUACUGCUCACAAGUGUUAGGAUUUAAUCCAAACCUCAGCAUAAUGGUGAAACCAUCUCAGUGCACGUGGAGGCAGAGCAGUGUACAAGGCAGUAAACCGAAUCUGUUUGAAGUCAGAAGUGUUUCCACCAGAUUCAUGAGUCAGACCCAGGAAGGUUUUCACAGGAGUUUGAGACGGCUGCAGACCUCGAGCCCCUUACCUGAAUGUCAGUCUGCUUGACAAAAGCUUGAAACAGAGUUCAAGGUCUAGUCAAAAGCCUUUCUGAAAUCAGUCAGAGACUUCUCACUGGCAUCAGGAUAGUCCAGAUGUGUCAUGCUUGUUCCUCAGAUAUGCUUUGGGUUUGAAGACUCCAGCCUUUGGAGAUUGCAGUCCUUUCAGUCAAAAAUGUUUCUAGUUUCUGUGAAUAAAAUAAAUUGUGCGGCUUUGAUAUGGUACUCU
rnacentral:lncRNA from 1 species